UACGUAGGGUGCAAGCGUUAAUCGGAAUUACUGGGCGUAAAGCGCGCGUAGGCGGCUUUGCAAGUCGAGUGUGAAAUCCCCAGGCUUAACCUGGGAACUGCAUUCGAGACUGCAUAGCUAGAGUAUGGGAGAGGGAAGUGGAAUUUCAGGUGUAGCGGUGAAAUGCGUAGAUAUCUGAAGGAACAUCAGUGGCGAAAGCGACUUCCUGGACCAAUACUGACGCUCAUGUGCGAAAAGCGUGGGGAGCAAACAGG
rnacentral:rRNA from 1 species